rnacentral:rRNA from 1 species
UACGGAGGGGGCUAGCGUUGUUCGGAAUUACUGGGCGUAAAGCGCGCGUAGGCGGACCUGCAAAGUCGGGGGUGAAAGCCCGAGGCUCAACCUCGGAACUGCCUUCGAUACUGCGGUCUCGAGUCCGGGAGAGGUGAGUGGAAUUCCUAGUGUAGAGGUGAAAUUCGUAGAUAUUAGGAAGAACACCAGUGGCGAAGGCGGCUACAC